GCUCGCUCCUCUUUCUGUCAGC
rnacentral:miRNA from 2 species